GAACAUUGGGAUUUCAAAAAAUUUAAGAGUAAAUAGGUAAUUACUUCUCACCUUCUCAAGGGACACGUGUGCUACUAUUAAUUUGACCAAACCACGUGUAUUGCAUUUACAUUCAACUAUAUUCUAUAGUAGUACUUCACAACUCACAAUUUAUCUCUCAUUUAGAAGACCAUCUCUGUUUGCGAGUAUCUCAGCUUUCUUCUACUCUUUUUCUGUUCUUCAAUCUUUUAAAUUGUGAAAUUUUUGUGGUUGCUUAUGGUGUUAACUCUUUUGUCCUUGUGAUUUUUGGUAGAUUCUACUUCAUUCUCCUUCUUUCUUUGUUGCACCCAUUUCUUGGUGAUGUGAUUUUGAUAGAUCCGAUUUGAUUUUCUUCAUAUCUUAGAUUUUUCGCUCUCUGCAAUAUUCCUCUUGCUUAGCUACUUCAAGAGAUUUGAGUUUUCUCCUAUUUUUUUUAUUUUUCUUUUAAUUUCAUGGAUUUUGUCUAUUUCUAAUUUUAUCACUUGCUUGAUACUAAUCUUCUAGCCUCUGUUGUGUUUGUUUUUACAUUCUUUUGAAUAGUUUCUUGCUAUAUCUACAUAAAUGUCAAAAGUUCUAUCUAAUUUUCAUAUGCAUGCUUGGAAAUAAAUACUUAGGUGCGUGUUUUUUGUUUCUAAUUUUGGUUGUGUAACUGUAACGACCCGAUCGAUCGUUUUGAACUUUUACACUUUGAUCGCCAGUUCCCCGGCAUGACUUGCCCCGUGUAACGUAUUAUGACUGAUGUAGAUCGUUGGUUUUGGUUUUCAGGAAAAAUCGGAAUGAAUUUGAAGGAACAGUCUCAGUUAAAAGCUUUGAAUUUGAAAGGUUUGACUAAGAGUUGACUUAUUUGUAUAUGAGCUCGGAUCGGAAAUUUUAUGAUUUGUAUAGUUUCGUUGGGUGAUUUAUGACUUAGGAGCGCGAUCGAAAUGCAUUUUGGAAGUCCGUGGAAGGAUUUGGCUUGAAUUGGCAAAGUUAAAAUUUUGGCGAAUUC
rnacentral:lncRNA from 1 species